CUGGUCCAUUGCAUCGACGGAGCCCACCCGAAUAUAUAAUUACUUAUUGAAUUUAUUCUUCGGUAUUUCCUAGCUUGUUGCAGCCUACGGAACUUUUGGAUAAGGCGCUGCAUAUCUUCUCGGCUAUUUAGCUAAGAUCAAGUUAUUAAACUGUUCUUAUCAGAGUAACUCCUGAUACGGGCCUUUGGCCCAAGGAUCAAAACUGUUGGCUGUCCCGCGUUCUUCCGGGGUUCCACUUGUCCGGAUGGAGCGCGACGGUCGCAAACGUUUUCCGACAAAACCAACCACUGAACGUUGUAAGGCAGUUAUUGGAACGACCCGCAUUUCCCAUCACUUUAUUCUCGCUUGGUGUAUACUUUAACGCCUCGGAUCC
rnacentral:snRNA from 2 species